CUGAAGGCCAAUGGAGAUCAAGAUUCCUGAACCGAGGAGAGAUGCGGAUCACGAGGACUGUUGAUUCACAGCAGAAUGAGCUUUUCAGUGGGGUCUGGCAGGAGGAAGCAGCCCUCAUUUCCACCAAGAAGAAGACUACAGCUCCCUCAACCCACUCUCCUCCACAAGAUCCCUGUUAGAAAUGGACUUGCAAAGGUGUUUGUGCCCUGAGGAUGCUUCAUCAGCUUAGUCUCCUGUCACUGUCCUGCUUGAACACUUAAUAUGGAAGAUUCUGGAAUGUCAUCCCCAGAAACAAUUGUGAUAAUUUUGCUAAUGAUAUCCGUCUUCAGGAUGUACCUGAUGCCUUUCUCUCCUCUUACAUGGUGUCCUGGGCUAUUUCAAAAGCAGGAUGUGUAGUGCUGCUGGAAGGUGGUAGGGAGUUCCCCAACAUCUUCUCUGUUGGGAGCUGCCCCCACAUUCGCCGUCACAAGAUGGCGCUGACAGCUGUGUUCUAAGUGGUAA
rnacentral:lncRNA from 1 species